AGAGUUUGAUCCUGGCUCAGGAUGAACGCUAGCUACAGGCUUAACACAUGCAAGUCGAGGGGCAGCAUGAACUUAGCUUGCUAAGUUUGAUGGCGACCGGCGCACGGGUGAGUAACACGUAUCCAACCUGCCGAUGACUCGGGGAUAGCCUUUCGAAAGAAAGAUUAAUACCCGAUGGCAUAGUUCUUCCGCAUGGUAGAACUAUUAAAGAAUUUCGGUCAUCGAUGGGGAUGCGUUCCAUUAGGUUGUUGGCGGGGUAACGGCCCACCAAGCCUUCGAUGGAUAGGGGUUCUGAGAGGAAGGUCCCCCACAUUGGAACUGAGACACGGUCCAAACUCCUACGGGAGGCAGCAGUGAGGAAUAUUGGUCAAUGGACGAGAGUCUGAACCAGCCAAGUAGCGUGAAGGAUGACUGCCCUAUGGGUUGUAAACUUCUUUUAUAUGGGAAUAAAGUAUUCCACGUGUGGGAUUUUGUAUGUACCAUAUGAAUAAGGAUCGGCUAACUCCGUGCCAGCAGCCGCGGUAAUACGGAGGAUCCGAGCGUUAUCCGGAUUUAUUGGGUUUAAAGGGAGCGUAGGUGGAUUGUUAAGUCAGUUGUGAAAGUUUGCGGCUCAACCGUAAAAUUGCAGUUGAAACUGGCAGUCUUGAGUACAGUAGAGGUGGGCGGAAUUCGUGGUGUAGCGGUGAAAUGCUUAGAUAUCACGAAGAACUCCGAUUGCGAAGGCAGCUCACUGGAGUGUAACUGACGCUGAUGCUCGAAAGUGUGGGUAUCAAACAGGAUUAGAUACCCUGGUAGUCCACACAGUAAACGAUGAAUACUCGCUGUUUGCGAUAUACAGUAAGCGGCCAAGCGAAAGCGUUAAGUAUUCCACCUGGGGAGUACGCCGGCAACGGUGAAACUCAAAGGAAUUGACGGGGGCCC
rnacentral:rRNA from 1 species